rnacentral:RNase_P_RNA from 1 species
ACGUUCAGGUAAUCGCUGCAUCAUUUGAUGUAGAGGAAAGUCCAUGCUCGCACGGUGCUGAGAUGCCCGUAGUGUUCGUGCCUAGUGAAAAAAUAAGCUAGGGCAGCUUGGCUUAUAGCUUAGCUGACGGCGGGAAAAACCACCUAAGUCUUUGGAUAUGGUUGAGUAUCCCUGAAAGUGCCACAGUGACGAAGCUUUGCUGGAAACAGCAAAGGUGGAACGCGGUAAACCCCACGAGCGAGAAACCCAAACAAUGGUAGGGGAACUGUCUCAAAGGAAUCUAACGGAGAGACGGACGGUUACAUGCGUAAUCGUAGAUAGAUGAUUACCGCCUGAGUACGAGAUUAAAAUCGUUUGCAGUACAAAGGUACAAAACAUGGCUUAUCGAA